UCCGGGGUAGCUCAACCGGCAGAGCGGGUGGCUGUUAACCACUAGGUUGGGGGUUCGAGUCCCUCCCCCGGAG
rnacentral:tRNA from 1 species